GGAUUACAGGCAUGAGCCACUGCGCCAGGCUAUAACAUUGAAAUUUUACUCAUAAAAGUUCUGUACACUUUAUUGUGUUAAUUUCUAGGUAUUGUUUUAGUGGUUUUGCUGGCAUUGUAAAUGGUAUUUUAUUACAUCUAAAAAAUUUUACUUUUUUUUUUUUUUUGAGAUGGAGUCUCCCUCUGUUGCCAGGCUGGAGUGCAGUGUUGAGAUCUCGGCUCACUGCAACCUCCGACUCCCUAGUUCAAGCGAUUCUCCUGCUUCAGCCUCCCAAGUAAGCUAGGUUUAUAGGCACAUGCCACCACGCCCAGCUAAUUUUUGCAUUUUCAGUAGAGACAGGGUUUCAUCAUGUUGGCCAGGCUCGUCUUUAUCUCCUAACCUCGUGAUCCACCCACCUCAGCCUCCCAGAUUACAGGCAUGAGCCACUGUGCCCUACUUACAUUUUUAUUGGACAGCUGAUGAAUGGAAUUGGAUUAAUAAUAAUACUUCUUGUUUCAUGACAUCCUGUUAAUCUUGGUUGCCCUCUUUUAUUUUUUAGUGUAUAUAUGUUUGUGUUCAUAUUAAUGUAGGUACCCAUCAUCCAAAAUGAAAACCAUGAUUUUGACAAUAACUUAUUUAAUUUUUCAGUUUGUUUAGGCUGCUGUAUGGAGAAUAGACUGAUAAGGACAAGAGGAGAGGCUGGGAGACAAGUAAGGAGUCUGAUGCAGGUGCUAGUGGGAGCUGAACUGGCGUGGUGGCUGUGGAGUGUAGGUCAUGAGAAACAGCUGGGUUUGGAAUAAAAUUUAAAAGUAGAGCGCACAAUUCUUGCUGAUGAAUUGGACAUUGGGGGGAUUCCAUUCAUUUAAUGGAUUCCAUUCAAUUAUUAAUUCAGUAGUUCAUUCAUUCAGUGUACCCCAGUGAGUUCUUACCUUUGUCCAGGUCCUUUCCAUGAAUAAAGUAGGCACCUACAAUGUAUGAGGAUUCUGACUUCUCUACACCCUCACCAAAAUUUGUUAUUAGCUGGCUGGUCCAAUACCAGUUAGUCCAUCAUGGCCAGAGACAAAAGUGUCUCUGUUAUAUUUCCUGUUGAUUUUUGCUGAUGUAUAGGAGCACUGUUGAUUUCUGUAGUUUUUACCAAUCAGGUGAAUGUUAUGAUUUAUUUUACCAUGUCUAUCAGUUUAUCUGUUGAAUAUUUUUAUUUUCUAUGCAACUAUCCUUAUACCUUUACUUUUUUUCAUGUCUUAGAGCAUGGUCCAGAUCAUCUAGUACUAUACUGAACAAUGCCUGGAAUCAGGUAUGCUUAUCUUCUGCCUAAUUUUUUUAUUUUUUAUUUUAUUUAUUUAUAUGUUUUUUUGAGACAGAGUCUCGCUCUGUCACCCAGGCUGGAGUGCACUGGCGUGAUCUCGGGUCACUGCAACCUCUGCCUCCUAGGUUUAAGCAAUUCUCAUGCCUCAGCCUCUCAACUAGCUGGGACUACAGGCAUGCACCACCAUGCCCGGCUAAUUUUUGUAUUUUUAGUAGAGAUGGGGUUUCACCAUAUUGGCCAGGCUGGUCUCGAACUCCUGACCUUGUGAUCCGCCCACCUCAGCCUCCCAAAGUGCUGGGAUUCCAGGCGUGAGCCACUGUGCCCGGCCAUCUUCUGCCUAAUUUUAAAGAGCACGUGUCUAAAGUUUCUCCAUUAGAUAUGAUGUUUACUCUCAGUUUUUGAUAUUAUCUUUUAUCAAAGUAAGAAGAUUUCCUUCCUAGUCUUCUGAGAGUUUUUAUCAUAAAUGCAUGGUGAAAUUUGUCAUAAACUUUUUUUCUGCAUCUACCAAGAUAAUAAUUUUCUUUUUUUCUCCCUCUGUCUACUUAUGUGGUGAAUAUACAUUGAUAGAUUUUCUGGCAUUUAUUCAACCUUCUAUUUCUAAGAUAAACCAUUUAGUUAGUUCUGAGGGGUUUUUGCUCUGAUUUUAUUUAGAACAUUUUCAUCCAUGUUUAUAACUGAAAUUGGCCCAUAAUUUUCCUUUCUGGUACUAUCCUUGCCUGUUUUUUAUUUCAAAGCUAAAAGGUGAUACUGGCUUUAUAAAAUGAGUUGGAGAGAUUACCCUUUUCCUCUGUCUUCUAGAACAAUUUGUGUCAUGUAAGGAGUAUCUUUCUUUGAAGGUUUGGCAGAAGGUAAAACCAUCUGUUCUGGUAAUUUUUAUGUAAGUGUGAGUGGCUGUGCAUGGCUUUAAAAAGAACUACAAAUCCAAUUUAUUUAAUGUUUUAAGUCUACUCAGGCAUUUAAUUUCUUACUGAGUUACAGUAGGCAAUAUUAUUUUUCUAGAAAAUUGUUCUUGCUUUUUGGUUUCACAUUUAUCAGUACAAUACUCACAGUAGUUUCUUACAUUCAUUUAGAAUUUUUACAACUUCACUGCUAUCUGCCAGUCUUUAUUUGUGACUUCACUCCUGUUUUUUCUUGAUCAGUUUGCCAGAGGGUUGUUUUUUGAGAACUAUUUAAAAAUAAAAGCAUCUCUACUGUUUCUUUGCUUCAUGUUUCCUUAAUUUAUGCUUUUAUUUUUUUUCCAUUUUCUUUGGAUUUACCCUGUGAUUCUUUUUCAGCUUCCUUUGUUGAAUGCUUAGGUAAUUAAUUUUUAAACCUUCUCCUUUUGGUAACAGGUAUUUAGGGCUAUAAAUGGACCACUAAGUAUUUCUUUAGAUGUUUCCUAGGUUUUGAUAUCAAGUGUUUUUAUUGUUGUCUAAAUAGAUUAUAAUUGAAAACUAUUGCAAAUAUGAAAUUUAAAUAUCUAUAAGUUAUUUAGAAAUAUAUUUUAUAAUGCAUGACUAGCUAUCUUUUUGUUAUUAACAUUGCAAGAAGGUCAGAUAA
rnacentral:lncRNA from 10 species